rnacentral:rRNA from 1 species
AUGGGCUAGGGUCCUACCAGAUUACCAAACCCAAUCAAACUCUGAAUGGCGUUGACAAGUAUCCGGGAGUCAGGCUGCGGAGAUAAGUUCCGUAGCCGAGAGGGAAAGAGCCCAGAUCGUCGGCUAAGGUCCCCAAAUUCGAGCUAAGUGUCAAAGGAUGUGGAAGCGCAUUGACAACCAGGAGGUUGGCUUAGAAGCAGCCAUCCUUUAAAGAAAGCGUAAUAGCUCACUGGUCAAGCGAAUCUGCGCCGAAAAUAUAACGGGGCUAAGCUCGAUACCGAAGCCACGGGCUUUCGCAAGAAAGCGGUAGGGGAGUAUUCUCAAGGAGACACACGCCGGACAGUAAUGACCGGUAUCGGCCUUGAGAAGAGCUUAGGCAGGCAUGAGUAGCGAUAAACCGAGUGAGAAACUCGGUCGCCGUAAGUCCAAGGUUUCCUGGGGAAGGAUAAUCCUCCCACGGGUUAGUCGGAUCCUAAGCCGAGGCCGAGAGGCGUUAGGUGAUGGAAAGCAGGUUAAUAUUCCUGCACCG